rnacentral:rRNA from 1 species
GCCCAGACUCCUACGGGAGGCAGCAGCGGGGGAUAUUGCACAAUGGGGGGAACCCUGAUGCAGCGACGCCGCGUGGGUGAAGGAGCGUUUCGGCGCGUAAAGCCCUAUCGGCAGGGAAGAAGGAGGACGGUACCUGACUAAGAAGCCCCGGCUAACUACGUGCCAGCAGCCGCGGGAAUACGUAGGGGGCAAGCGUUAUCCGGAUUUACUGGGUGUAAAGGGAGCGUAGACGGCAGAGAAAGUCUGAAGUGAAAGCCCGCGGCUCAACCGCGGAACUGCUUUGGAAACUUUUCGGCUAGAGUACCGGAGAGGUAAGCGGAAUUCCUAGUGUAGCGGCGAAAUGCGUAGAUAUUAGGAGGAACACCAGUGGCGAAGGCGGCUUGCUGGACGGUAACUGACGUUGAGGCUCGAAAGCGUGGGGAGCAAACAGGAUUAGAUACCCCCGUACCG